UACUAGAUGGUUUAAGUAAGCCUGCAAC
rnacentral:piRNA from 1 species